rnacentral:rRNA from 1 species
GGGGAGGAAGGGAGUAAAGUUAAUACCUUUGCUCAUUGACGUUACCCGCAGAAGAAGCACCGGCUAACUCCGUGCCAGCAGCCGCGGUAAUACGGAGGGUGCAAGCGUUAAUCGGAAUUACUGGGCGUAAAGCGCACGCAGGCGGUUUGUUAAGUCAGAUGUGAAAUCCCCGGGCUCAACCUGGGAACUGCAUCUGAUACUGGCAAGCUUGAGUCUCGUAGAGGGGGGUAGAAUUCCAGGUGUAGCGGUGAAAUGCGUAGAGAUCUGGAGGAAUACCGGUGGCGAAGGCGGCCCCCUGGACGAAGACUGACGC